rnacentral:tRNA from 1 species
AGCUCAGCGGUAGAGCAGUUGGCUGUUAACCAAUUGGUCGGUGGUUCGAAUCCACCC